AAGAUGGACGACGACGAUCUGGCGGCAUACAUCCUUGCCGGGCUUGACGCGGAGUGGAAUCCGCUCGUCACGUCCAUGACCACGUGGGCUGACACGGUCUCCCUCUCUGAGCUCUAUGCUCAUCUGCUGAAUUUCGAGA